UGUAUUGUAAUUGUAAUUUAUUAACAGUUAAUGUACGUGGAUCUGUUAUCAGCUGGAUGUUAUUUUCACGCGUUAUUCCAAAAUAAAUAUGUUAAUAAUUUUGUUAGGAACAAUAAUCGGUUAGUUUAUCCUGCAUGAUAACACAUGUGCAGCACAUGUGAUGUGACUGGCAGGUGCCGGCAGGACAAAAAAAAAUUGGAGCCUUAAUUUUGUAAAUUAUUUAUUGUCAUAACGGAAGCCUACAGGUUACCCCAUAUUUUAGCUGUAGACUAAAUCAGAAUGACUCCCCUGCGGUAAGAAACUCAAGACGGCAACGAGUUACACUCAACGUCGUCGACGAUUGCGUCAUAUGGCUAGUUAUGCCUCAUCGAUGGGCAGCCCGAAGAUUCCAAGAGAAGAGUCAGUAACUCGUCCGAUAACAUCCGGUCAUUCGUCAACACCACACCAAGCUCGUGAUACCAACAACAAAUAGCGAUAAUAAACCCAAACGUGAGACACUAUCUAACGGAGCCUUUAUCUACAAGAUGGUCUCGAAGGGAAAUCGGAUGGUGAUCUGCGCCUACACGUGUUCGAGCAAUACGAAGUAAAGGUACGUCGCAAUCAGCUGGAACCCAGGACCAUUGAAUCCAUUGCUUCCGAGUUCUCUGCUGCUGCAACAGGCAAGGCAAUGUACGUAACCAGUAGUACAUGGCUCAGAGGCAGGUCCCCAAGGUUUGUUUUCAGGAAAG